GGAAGAUUUGCCAUUGCUUGACAACAGUUUGAGGCAGGAUAAAGAGCUCCAGCAACGAUUUCUUCGGUUUUUGGCAAUCAAAUGUGGGAGGGACCUAAAGACAACCGUGUGGCUGAAUGCUUCAGAGUAUCUUCUCUAAUCACCUUUCCAUCAAUACAACCUGGACUGGUGUAGGGGAUAAAGCAUGUUUUAGAGACAUGUUCCUGAAGACCAUUGUUCAAAGAGCCAUCCGUAAGAACCCGGCAACCCAGGAUGCCACUGAUGAGGCGAUCCAGGUUAACGUUACGCGUUACCUGAAAGGAGCAUCUGAACAUGAAGGUGGAAAAAGGCGCCGCACAGCUGAGAGGGACCCACAGCCGACCCCUUAAACCUAGGCUGACUACUGAUACCCCAGCAUCACUGACAACUGGAACCCUUUCUUUAUCCUGCAGUCAGUAACAUCAAGACUCCUAAAAAAGCCUGCUAAAAGUGUCAGACUACACUCACCCAAUCCACACUGUUCACUGUGGAAAUUGCUCUUUUUUUUUUUUUUUUUCUUUCCUCUCGUGACCCUGCUUUGAGGGCAGCUCCUUGGAUGAAUAUGGGAUGGUUUGUCCUUUUAUACAGGCGCACGAGGAAUCACUGAAGAUAUGUCAAUUUGCACUAACUCAUUCUGGAGGUCGGGGAAA